UCCCCACUAUACACACCCUCUUACUCUCAGCUGAUGAUCAAUGGAGUGGUAACUGUAUCACGUGUGUAAUCAUGGGCAGCCGCAGGAAUUUUUCCUGGGGGGGAAGGGGAGGGCAGGAACAUAAUUGUAAUGACAUCCAUGCUUAGUCCCUUUUUGACAGUGUCAUUAAGGGGAGGAGCAUAGUCAUUAUCACAUCAAGCCAGGGUGAAUAGUGUUUUCACAACUAACAUGUUUGUAUUCCUGACCCUAUAGUGUUCCUUUAAUCAAAUUAACCC